GACGUAGGAUGCGAGCGUUGUCCGGAAUUAUUGGGCGUAAAGAGAACGUAGGCGGUUCCUUAAGUUUGGGGUUAAAGACCGAGGCUCAACCUCGGGAGUGCCCUGAAUACUGGGGGACUGGAGGACGGCAGAGGAAAGUGGAAUUCCCAGUGUAGCGGUGAAAUGCGUAGAUAUUUGGGAGGAACACCAGUGGCGAAAGCGACUUUCUGGGCCGUUCCUGACGCUGAGGUUCGAAAGCGUGGGGAGCAAACAGG
rnacentral:rRNA from 1 species